rnacentral:rRNA from 1 species
CCAGACUCCUACGGGAGGCAGCAGUGGGGAAUAUUGGACAAUGGACCGAGAGUCUGAUCCAGCAAUUCUGUGUGCACGAUGAAGUUUUUCGGAAUGUAAAGUGCUUUCAGUUGGGAAGAAAUAAAUGACGGUACCAACAGAAGAAGUGACGGCUAAAUACGUGCCAGCAGCCGCGGUAAUACGUAUGUCACGAGCGUUAUCCGGAUUUAUUGGGCGUAAAGCGCGUCUAGGUGGUUAUGUAAGUCUGAUGUGAAAAUGCAGGGCUCAACUCUGUAUUGCGUUGGAAACUGUAUAACUAGAGUACUGGAGAGGUAAGCGGAACUACAAGUGUAGAGGUGAAAUUCGUAGAUAUUUGUAGGAAUGCCGAUGGGGAAGCCAGCUUACUGGACAGAUACUGACGCUAAAGCGCGAAAGCGUGGGUAGCAAACAGGAUUAGAUACCCUGGUAGUCCACGCUGUAAACGAUGAUUACUAGGUGUUGGGGGUCGAACCUCAGCGCCCAAGCAAACGCGAUAAGUAAUCCGCCUGGGGAGUACGUACGCAAGUAUGAAACUCAAAGGAAUUGACGGGGGCCCGCACAAGA